CGCGUAGACGGUUACAUAAGUCGGGUGUGAAAGCCCCGGGCUCAACCCGGGAAUUGCAUUCGAGACUGCGUAGCUAGGGUGCGGAAGAGGGAAGCGGAACUUCCGGUGUAGCGGUGAAAUGCGUAGAUAUCGGAAGGAACACCAGUGGCGAAAGCGGCUUCCUGGUCCAGCACCGACGUUCAGGCGCGAAAGCGUGGGGAGCAAACA
rnacentral:rRNA from 1 species